rnacentral:snoRNA from 1 species
AUUACCCCCCCCCCAUGCUGUGUCACAUGUGUGUCAUUAGGGGGCAAAGAGAAUAGAGGCUUGUCUAAGUCUAGUGCUGUGACCUGUGAGCAACUGGGUGGUUGACAGUCUGACACU